UAGGGAAUCUUCCACAAUGGGCGCAAGCCUGAUGGAGCAACACCGCGUGAGUGAAGAAGGGUUUCGGGCUCGUAAAGCUCUGUUGUUAAAGAAGAACACGUAUGAGAGUAACUGUUCAUACGUUGACGGUAUUUAACCAGAAAGUCACGGCUAACUACGUGCAA
rnacentral:rRNA from 1 species